UACGUAGGGUGCGAGCGUUGUCCGGAUUUAUUGGGGCGUAAAGGGCUCGUAGGCGGCGUGUCGCGUCAGGAGUGAAAGCCCGCUGCUUAACGGCGGGUUGGCUUCCGGUACGGGCAUGCUGGAGUGUGGCAGGGGAGACUGGAAUUCCUGGUGUAGCGGUGGAAUGCGCAGAUAUCAGGAGGAACACCGGUGGCGAAGGCGGGUCUCUGGGCCAUUACUGACGCUGAGGAGCGAAAGCGUGGGGAGCGAACAGG
rnacentral:rRNA from 1 species